AGGAAGAAAGUAAGACCAACAGAGAAAAUCGUUUGUUGUUAAAUGAUAUGCACACGAUGGGCCGUAAGGGGUUUGCAAUUUUACGUCAUGAAUUGCAAGAGCAGGAUCUGAAUAAGCAAGAACCUUCUCAAGCAAAGGUCUACAAAGAAUCAAGGAAAAGAGUUCUAGGGAGAACAUACCUUACCAACCCUGAGAAAAUCGAAGAGAAUAUUGCAAAAAUAGAUGCUUUAGAGUCCACCCAAGACGGAGAAG